rfam:Nomascus leucogenys chromosome 1a, whole genome shotgun sequence.
CAAAAGGCUCUUUUCAGAGCCACCCACCAUUUCUACGAAAGAACUG